rnacentral:rRNA from 1 species
AUUGAACGCUGGCGGCAUGCUUUACACAUGCAAGUCGAACGGUAACGCGGGGCAACCUGGCGACGAGUGGCGAACGGGUGAGUAAUGCAUCGGAACGUGCCCGGUAGUGGGGGAUAACUGCUCGAAAGAGCAGCUAAUACCGCAUACGACCUGAGGGUGAAAGGGGGGGAUCGCAAGACCUCUCGCUAUUGGAGCGGCCGAUGUCGGAUUAGCUAGUUGGUGGGGUAAGGGCCCACCAAGGCGACGAUCCGUAGCUGGUCUGAGAGGACGACCAGCCACCCUGGGACUGAGACACGGCCCAGACUCCUACGGGAGGCAGCAGUGGGGGAUUUUGGACAAUGGACGCAAGUCUGAUCCAGCCAUGCCGCGUGCGGGAAGAAGGCCUUCGGGUUGUAAACCGCUUUUGUCAGAGAAGAAAUCUUCUGGGUUAAUACCUCGGGAGGAUGACGGUAUCUGAAGAAUAAGCACCGGCUAACUACGUGCCAGCAGCCGCCGUAACAC